GUCUACCCAACAUAGAGGCACCUGCCAUAAAGACCCCGACACCCUGACUGUAUCUGCCCUGCUGGAUAUGCUGGAAAGUUCUAUGAGACAGUGUGCUUCCAGCCCUUACCACAAUGGGGCUGUGUGCCAGGAUGGAAUCAAUGGAUCCUCCUGUUUCUGUGUGCCUGACACAAAGGUAGGCAUUGUGACUUGGAAGUGGCUGAAUUUGAGCCCUGUGUGAGUGAGGCUGUAUGCCUCAAUGAGAUAGGCAGAUACAUGUGUGUCCAUCCUUAAGAGUGUGAACUAUGAGUUGGAAAUUGAUGAAUGUGGAUCCCUGCCAUGUCUAUGUGGUGCUGUGUUUCAAGAUGCUCUUGGGGCUUACUUCUGUGACUGUGCACCUGGAGUCCUUGGAGACCACUGUGAACUCAACUUUGAUGAAUGUGCCAGUCAGACAUAUCUCCAUGGAGGUCUUUGUGUGGAGGGAGGAAAGAAGUACUACUGUGUCUACAUAGGGAGUGGAUUCACAGGGACACACUGUGAGACCUUGAUGCCUCUUCGUUGGUCAAAGCCUUGUCACAAUAUGUGAAGACACUGCUGACCUGGAUACACAGGUGCCCUGUUGUGGGGAGCCGCCCUCACAUUCGCCGUUGCAAGAUGGCGCUGACAUCCUGUGUUCUAAGUGGUAAACAAAUAAUCUGCGCAUGUGCCAAGGGUAGUUUUCCACUACAUGUGCUCUGCCUUCCCCGUGACGACAACUCGGCCGAUGGGCUGCAGCCAAUCAGGGAGUAAUACGUCCUAGGCGGAGAAUAAUUCUCCUUAAAAAGGGACGGGGUUUCGCCAUUCUCUCUCUUGCUCUGGCUCUUGCUCUCUUGCACUCUAGCGCUCUUGCGCUCUGGCUCCUAAAGAUGUAAGCAAUAGAGCUCUUGCUCUCUUGCACUCUUGCUCCUGAAGAUGUAAGCAAUAAAGCUCUUGCUCUCUUGCGUUCUUGCUUCUUGCUCCUGAAGAUGUAAGCAAUAAAGCUCUUGCGCUCUUGCUCUCUUGCACUCUUGCUCCUGAAGAUGUAAGCAAUAAAGUUUUGCCGCAGAAGAUUCCGGUUUGUUGCGUUCUUCCUGGCCGGUCGCGUGAACGCGGGUAAGAGUUGGUGCCGAAACCCGGGAAGAGAAAACCCGGGCCGAGAAAACCCGGGACAAGAAAACCUGGGACGGUUACCAUCACCGGCGCAAGGAAGAUCCCUCAUUCCGGAACCAGAACUGCGGGUCAUGGUAAUGAAGUGUUCCCGUAAAACAGACUGUUGAGAAGGAUCCGGCCUGGAUUCAGAACUCCUCAGCUGGGGAACGGUGGUAAUGAAGUGUUCCCGUAAAACAGACUGUUGAGAAGGAUUCAACUUCGUGAAUUCAGAACUCUUCAGCUGGGGAACGGUGGUAAUGAAGUGUUCCCGUAAAACAGACUGUUGAGAAGGAUUCAACUGCGUGAAUUCAGAACUCUUCAGCUGGGGAACGGUGGUAAUGAAGUGUUCCCGUAAAACAGACUGUUGAGAAGGAUUCAACUGCGUGAAUUCAGAACUCUUCAGCUGGGGAACAGGGUACCCGUAAGUAUAGCUUUACAAGGUAAGUCUGGUCUUGAACUUUCUAACGAAAUUCAAGACAGUCUAUCAGAAGUAAAGUGGGAAAUAGCUUUACAAGGUAUGUUUGGCCUUGAACUUUUUCUAGUGUUAGGAGCCUUUUUGUUCCUUUUCACAUGUUAUCAAGCGGUUAAGGCAGGGCUGAAAAUUCUGGAUGAAAUUCAGGGCAAUCUAUCAGAAGUAAAGCGGGGAGAGAGAGUAGGAGCAAAGAGGAAAUAUGGAACACAAAAUAAGUAUACAGGCCUUUCCACGGGUCUUGAACCUGAGGAAAAGUUUAGGUCAGGUAAGAAUACCUGGGGAGAGAUUAGAAGGAAGGAGAAGGAAA
rnacentral:lncRNA from 1 species